rnacentral:ncRNA from 1 species
UAUGUGGCUCUUGGUGGGGACGUGUUCCCCGAACAUUCCACAGGGAAAUGCACCUUGCCUUCAUGGCAGAAAAUUAAUCAGUCAAAAAUGUGUGUGGUAGGUAGAAAUAGUCGAAGCACAUAGAUUUC